rnacentral:lncRNA from 1 species
GCAUUAUAAUUUUAAAUAUUUCUUUAAUGAAAGCUGGAGAAAUUGUAAUGAGUUCUUGCUCUAAUUGUAGGUCAUGAAGACAACCCCCAAACAAGUGGAGAAAGACAGAGACUUCAGACCAACGCAGAUUCUGGGAUUUGUUAUUCCAGGAUAACAAACAGAACUGUGAAGAGAAUCAAGGAAGGAAAGGGUGGUGAUGUUAGAAGGACGUUCCUGUGAUGAUACCUGCCUACAUUUAAGAAUUCCUACAUUCCUAUUGCUAUUUAGCUACAGUAUGCACUGCAGUGCACGAUCCUGAUGCCUGCUGUAUGAUGUACUGUUUAUUGCAAGCCACAGGUAAGUCAGUUAGCUAAAACAAUAUAUCACCCCUCCAUUUAAAUGGAAUUUGAAGCCAAUAUUUGAGAAGGUGCAUGGCAUAUAAUUUCCCUAUCUUUCAAAAACCUAUGUUUUCUCAGUCAUUCCUGAUAUUACUCUGGAAGCCCUAACAAAGCUGUUCCUUCAUUGAGAUGCCUUCAUCCUCUUCCCCUUUUUGUGUAUGGGUACUUUGUUUUGUUUUUCCCCUGUGUAAUCAAUGAGCUAGGACUGUUACUGAUUCUGACAUUGAUAUUGACCUAGAAAAGUAUUCGCACAAAGCUCUGUCCGGAAAUAAAACACUUCUAUAUUGAAAAGAUAAUGUGGAU